GUGAUGAGGGCUGGGUUGCAGACGCGUGACGACUUAGGAGCCAACUGA
rnacentral:snoRNA from 1 species